CUCCUCUUCUCUCUCUCUCAAUCCUGCUGCGCUGCUUCGUCGAUCCAAAAUCUUGGGUUGAAAGAGAGGGACACAGGGUGAUGGACUGAUCAAUUGGUACAAGUAGAAUUAAUCCAGAACCGAAAAUUGGAAGGCCUCCUAAAGUAGUAAGCUCAAGUUUGCAGGCUCCAAACCAUCAGAAACUAAUUAAGACAUCAACAGUAGAACAUCAUCAUCCACCUUUGGGUAAUCAGAUGCAGCUCCCCCCUUGAGACAAACUGUAGAUGCCCAACAACAACCUGAACAGCAGCGGCAGUUAUCAAAGGUUGGGAUGUAACAUGACUAAGCGACUUGUUUAAUUACCAAGUUUGGUGAUCCAUAAUUUCUUGAGUAUGUUGAAUGUACAUGAGAUGUUAAGCUACUGAUGCUAGUUAGCCAUGAAGAACUCACAGUCAUGCCACCUGAGAUGUUCAGCUACUGAUGCUAGUAAGCCGAGAAGAACUUGCAGUCAGUCUAUACAUUCAGACAGUUUAUAGAAAUACACCAGUUUAUUCUUGUUCAUCCUAAAUUUUAUGGCAAGGAGCUCAAGCUAUUGUGUAGAUAUAUUUGUUCACAACCUAAAACUAAUGCAAUUCAUGAUUUAGAUGUAUAUGCAUUGAUUUGUUAUA